CCUACGGGAGGCAGCAGUGAGGAAUAUUGGUCAAUGGACGGAAGUCUGAACCAGCCAAGUAGCGUGCAGGAUGACGGCCCUCCGGGUUGUAAACUGCUUUAGUUCGGGAAUAACGACGGGGACGCGUCCCUGGAAAGAAUGUACCGAAAGAAUAAGGACCGGCUAAUUCCGUGCCAGCAGCCGCGGUAAUACGGAAGGUCCGGGCGUUAUCCGGAUUUAUUGGGUUUAAAGGGAGCGUAGGCGGACUGUUAAGUCAGCGGUUAAAGAGUGUGGCUCAACCAUGCGAUGCCGUUGAAACUGGUGGUCUUGAGUGCACACAGGGAUGCUGGAACUCGUGGUGUAGCGGUGAAAUGCUUAGAUAUCACGAUGAACUCCGAUCGCGAAGGCAGGUGUCCGGGGUGUAA
rnacentral:rRNA from 1 species